GUUGGGGUGGCAGAGCCUGGUAAAUGCAAAAGACCUAAGCUCUUUAUUCCAGAGGUUCAAAUCCUCUCCCCAAUC
rnacentral:tRNA from 1 species